rnacentral:misc_RNA from 1 species
GAUGAAGAACGCAGCGAAAUACGAUACGUAAUGUGAAUUGCAGAAUUCAGUGAAUCAUCGAAUCUUUGAACGCACAUUGCGCCCGCCAGCACUCUGGCGGGCAUGCCUGUUCGAGCGUCAUUUCAACCAUCAAGCCCCAGGCUUGCGUUGGAGCCCUGCGGCUGCCGCAGCCUCCUAAAAGCAGUGGCGGGCUCGCUAUCACACCGAGUGCAGUAGAUUACUCUUCGCUCAGGGCGUGCAGCGGGUUCCGGCCGUGAAACCCCCUACUUUUAAAGGUUGACCUCGGAUCAGGUAGGAAUACCCGCUGAACUUAAGCAUAUCAAUAAGCGGAGGA